rnacentral:rRNA from 1 species
CUGCUGCCUCCCGUAGGAGUCUGGUCCGUGUCUCAGUACCAGUGUGGGGGACCUUCCUCUCAGAACCCCUACGCAUCGUCGCCUUGGUGGGCCGUUACCCCCGCCAACAAGCUAAUGCGACGCAUGACCAUCCGUAGCCGGAAUCGCUUCCUUUAAACCCACAGAGAUGCCUCCAUGGGUUGUUACGCGGUAUUAGACGGAAUUUCUUCCGCUUAUCCCCCUGCUACGGGCAGGUUUCAUACGUGUUACUCACCCGUGCGCCGGUCGCCGGCGGG